rnacentral:rRNA from 1 species
GCUGGCGGCAGGCCUAACACAUGCAAGUCGAGCGGUAACAUUUCUAGCUUGCUAGAAGAUGACGAGCGGCGGACGGGUGAGUAACGCGUAGAAAUCUACCUAGUAGUGGGGGAUAGCCCGGAGAAAUUUGGAUUAAUACCGCAUACGCCCUACGGGGGAAAGCGGGGGAUCUUCGGACCUCGUGCUAUUAGAUGAGUCUGCGUCGGAUUAGCUUGUUGGUGAGGUAAUGGCUCACCAAGGCGACGAUCCGUAGCUGGUCUGAGAGGAUGACCAGCCACACUGGAACUGAGACACGGUCCAGACUCCUACGGGAGGCAGCAGUGGGGAAUAUUGCACAAUGGGCGCAAGCCUGAUGCAGCCAUGCCGCGUGUGUGAAGAAGGCCUUAGGGUUGUAAAGCACUUUCAGCAGUGAGGAAAGGGGUGUCGUUAAUAGCGCCAUCCUGUGACGUUAACUGCAGAAGAAGGACCGGCUAACUCCGUG